UUAAAUAUAAUUACACUUUUUAAAAUAGAAAUCCAAACAAUUUAAUUUCUAAAUAGUCAAAGUAAAGUAUUUUGACUAAGAAAAUGUAUUUUUCCUUCAGAUAAAGUUCUUCAAAAUCACGAUAAACUCCUGAAGCACCUCUCUGAUACUGGCGAGUGGGAAACAGCAGCUAGCAGUCUCUCCUGGCUGUGUGGCUUUUAAAAUAAAAACAACUUUCAGUAGUGGUGAACUCUUCUCAGCCUUUGAGUGACUCAUGCAUGGCACCUAGGAGACUUGGAGACUGUGUCAUUGAGAAGGACCUAGAAGUUCUAAUUACCAGCCAGAACCACCUCAGUGAUGUACUGCAAAGCAUGGGGAAAAUAAUUACAUCAUGCUGUGAAGGACUGGCACCAGUGAGGUAGCAAGAACACAGAAGGUUGGACUGUGAGAUGUGUCAAAGAAGUGUGAGGAGAAAUGGAAAUGUAUUAUUGAUUCCAGCUGGAAAAUAAGCUAAGAGUUGGAAAAUAGUAUGCUUCUCCUGAAAUACUUGCUUUCUCUCCAGCUGGUUUAGAAGUGCCUCAAGACGUCUUCUGUGCUGCUGCUUUUUCUGAGAGUCACAGCAUCAGCUGGAGCCUGCUGAGACUUCCUCCAAAAGAAGCAGCAAGGAAAACUCACUGGUGGAAGAUCGGAAGAUCUGAGGUCUAAGCUUGCUGUUUGAGAGAGAGAACUUCAUCAGAGAAACAAAGACACCAAGGUUGUGAGUUCUGGAUCUAUACUUUUUACAACUGAGCUUUGUAGUCUUGUCAGGCUUCAGGGAAACCUGACAGAAUUGAGAACUGCCCUGAAUCUACUCGUGUUGUAACCAAUGUGACACAGCAGCAUGGGGCCUUGUGAGGCCAGGGAGAAAAGUCCAGAGGACUGAGGCUGCAAAACUGCAAAGAUGUACCUGGAGAAGCUGUAAUGUGAACAUAAUACUGUCAUCUUGCCUUCUCCAAAUAUUGAAUACAGAAGAGAAAAUGCUUUUCCACACUGAGCCACAACUUCACAGG